AUGAGUAUGGCAUCUUACUAAUAGUAUUUGAUAAAGAAUUUUCUAAUACUGUUAGGUAAAGAUGCCAGCUCACUUC
rnacentral:pre_miRNA from 1 species